AUCUGGAGGACUGACGGAGAAGCCGUACAUCUGGAAGGCAAAUCCUGAGGACGACCAGGACUCUACCAUCAAGGAUUCCUCGCACACCUGAGCUGAACUCCACCUGAUCCGGACAUCCUGCUGGUCCCGUCUCCUCAGUUCAUCUGAGCCUCUUCCUCCAGAAAACCUGCUGAGCUCAGCGGUCUGAGGCUGAUGUAUCAAUGACCUCCAGUGGGAGUGAUCUUCUUGACCCCACAUGUAGCCGUGUGCUUCCACACGCCUUUCCCUCACGUCUGUCACUAACCUCAUUACUUCUCUACUCCUUCCCCUUCUUCCUUCUCCGUGGUUCGAACCUUUACUCUGAAGGAGUGUCUCCUUGAACCUUUACACUGAAGGAGCGUAUUCCUGUCCUCAGAGGGUUCAGCGUUAGGGUUGAGAGUCAGGGUUUAGAGUCAGGGACAGAGCUGGUCAGGGAAUGCUGGUUUUACAUAAACCUUUUCAUUUGCUUUCUGAAUGGUGGUGUCAUUUUGAUGAGAUUAAUUUGGGAAAAUGUUUUCCUCUGCUUUCCUUUACAAAAAUAUGUAUUAAACUUCUGUGUUUGUAACCAGACCAGGUAUCCAUGGCUGAAGGAGCUGAUGGAGGAGCCGUGUUGAAGUUCCUGCCUGGGGGAGGAGCCGUGCUGGAGGCCCUGCCUGGUGGAGGAGCUGAUGGAGGCCCUGCCUGGUGGGGGAGCUGUGCUGAUGGAGGCCCUGCCUGGUGGAGGAUGUCUGUCGUGGGGUAGAUGGAGCCUGACUCUGAAACCAGGACUCUGUCUGAGGAGAGCAGACGGAGGAGCUGAGACGCUGGAGGACAACUAGGAAUCAACCAAAAAGGAUUCCUCAACGUGUUUCUGGAGCAGAGGGGAGCUGGUAGGGGAGCCGUUAAUCUGGAGGAUGACCAUCACUCUACCAACAAGGAUUACGUUGGGGCCAGACUCGCGCUGUUUGUUCCAGACCAGGACUCUGGCUGAGGAGCGCUGAUGGAGGAGCCAAGACUCUGGAGGACGACAUCACUCUACCAACAAAGAUCCUCAGCCCAACUGCUCCUGUGUUUGACCUUACAAUAGAGACAAAUUACAUUACCAGACCAGGAAUCUGGAGGACUGACGGAGAAGCCGUACAUCUGGAAGGCAAAUCCUGAGGAUGACCAGGACUCUACCAUCAAGGAUUCCUCACACACCUGAGCUGAACCUCACCUGAUCCUGUUUGGUCGGGGGAAGACGCACCUGAGCUGAACCUCACCUGAUUGGUCGGGGGCAGACUCACCUGAGCUGCACCUCACCUGAUCCUGUUUGGUGGGGGGCAGACUCACCUGAGCUGAACCCACCCUGAUCCUGACAUCCUGCUGGUCCCGUCUCCUCAGUUCAUCUGAGCCUCGUCCUCCAGAAGACCUGCUGAGCUCAGCGGUCUGAGGCUGAUGGAUCAAUGACCUCCAGUGGGAGUGAUCUUCUUGACCCCACAUGUAGCCGUGUGCUUCCACACGCCUUUCCCUCACGUCUGCCACUAACCUCACUACUUCACUACUCUCUACUGCUUCCUCUUUUCUUCCUUCUCUGUGGUUCAAACCUUUUAUACUGAAGGCGCGUCUUCCUGCCCUCAGAGGGUUUAGCGUUAGGGUUGAGAGUCAGGGUUUAGAGUCAGGGACAGAGCUGGUCAGGGAGGACUGCUUUUACACAAACCUCUUCACUUGCUUUCGGAAUGGUGGUGACAUUUUGAAAAGAUUCAUUGGGGAAAAUGUUUUCCUCUGCUUUCCUUUACAAAUUGUAUUCAACUUCUGUCAAGUGUUUUUGUUUAUAUUAAAAUCCC
ensembl:lncRNA